AAUAAAUUUUUUAUGGUUUAAAAAAUUUAUUUUAAAUUUAUUUUACAUAUAAAUUUUAGUGUUAAUUAUUAAUUAUUUAAAUAAUAUUUAAUAUUUUUGUAGUAAUUAAUUUUAAAAAUUUAAGAAAUUAAGAUUUAGUAAUAUUAAAAUUUAAUAACUAAUUUUGUGCCAGCAGUUGCGGUUAUACAAAAAUUAAUUUAAAUUUUUUUUUAGUUAUUAAUAAUUAAAUUUUUACAAUAAUUUAAAUUUUAAAUUUUAAGGUGAAAUUUUAAUUUAAUAAAAAAUUAUUUAAUAAUUAUGAUUUAAUAAAUUUUAUAAAAAACUAGGAUUAGAUACCCUAUUAUUAAAAUUUAAAUUAAUAAUACUUAAAUAGUAGAUAAUUUAUUUAUUGAAACUUAAAUAAUUUGGCGGUAUUUUAGUUCAUUUAGAGGAAUCUGUUUAAUAAUUGAUAAUCCACGAAUAAAUUUACUUAAUUUAUUAUUUUGUAUAUCGUUGUUAAAAAAAUAUUUUUUAAUAAUAUUAAUAUUUAAAAAUUUUUAAUUUAAAUUAAAUCAGAUCAAGAUGCAGAUUAUAAUUAAGAAUAUAAUGGAUUACAAUAAAUUUAUUUAAUUGGAUUUUAAUAUGUAAAAAUUAAAUAAAAUUGGAUUUAAAUGUAAUUUUAUUUAAAUUUUUAAAAUGAUUGAAUAUUAAAAUAUGUACAUAUUGCCCGUCGCUUUCAUUUAUAAAUUGAAAUAAGUCGUAACAAAGUAGAGGUACUGGAAAGUGUUUCUAGAAAGAU
rnacentral:ncRNA from 1 species